rnacentral:lncRNA from 1 species
AUCUCAGCUCACUGCAACCUCCGCCUCCCUGGUUCAAGCGAUUCUCCUGCCUCAGCCUCCCAAGUAGCUGGGAUUACAGGCAUUAGGCACCGUGCCCAGCCAGGACUAAGAAUAUUUAACAUGGAGACUAUUUGCAAAGAUUAUGCUGAUUUUUAAAAAGGCUGACUUGUGGAAAAAAAAAAUUUAAUCUUUAUCAGUCCAGCCAGACAAAUAGGUUGAAGUUACAGGAAACAAUUUUAGAAACUAUAAAAGGAAGAUCUUUAUCAGUAAAACUCUCCAAUAAGCUUUCUGGUCACUGGAAGUGUAGGAAAGGCUACACGAGUAUCUAUAGGUCUAUCAGUUUUUGACAAGUACUGUAUGUAAUAAUUCUUUUGGAAUAAAAAUAUCCAUGAUAUGUGAUAUAUGUAACUUUAAUCACAAAUCAUAAUGAUGCUUGACUUCUUGCACA